rnacentral:rRNA from 1 species
GACGAACGCUGGCGGCGUGCCUAAUACAUGCAAGUAGAACGCACAGUUUAUACCGUAGCUUGCUACACCAUAGACUGUGAGCUGCGAACGGGUGAGUAACGCGUAGGUAACCUGCCUGGUAGCGGGGGAUAACUAUUGGAAGCGAUAGCUAAUACCGCAUAAUAUUAAUUAUUGCAUGAUAAUUAAUUGAAAGGUGCAAUUGCACCACUACCAGAUGGACCUGCGUUGUAUUAGCUAGUAGGUGAGGUAACGGCUCACCUAGGCGACGAUACAUAGCCGACCUGAGAGGGUGAUCGGCCACACUGGGACUGAGACACGGCCCAGACUCCUACGGGAGGCAGCAGUAGGGAAUCUUCGGCAAUGGACGAAAGUCUGACCGAGCAACGCCGCGUGAGUGAAGAAGGUUUUCGGAUCGUAAUGCUCUGUUGUAAGAGAAGAACGGGUGUGAGAGUGGAAAGUUCACACUGUGACGGUAUCUUACCAGAAAGGGACGGCUAACUACGUG